UUACCAACCCGAUGCAAACUGCGAAUACCGGAGAAUGUUAUCACGGGAGACACACGGCGGGUGCUAACGUCCGUCGUGAAGAGGGAAACAACCCAGACCGCCAGCUAAGGUCCCAAAGUCAUGGUUAAGUGGGAAACGAUGUGGGAAGGCCCAGACAGCCAGGAUGUUGGCUUAGAAGCAGCCAUCAUUUAAAGAAAGCGUAAUAGCUCACUGGUCGAGUCGGCCUGCGCGGAAGAUGUAACGGGGCUAAACCAUGCACCGAAGCUGCGGCAGCGACGUUUAUGCGUUGUUGGGUAGGGGAGCGUUCUGUAAGCCUGCGAAGGUGGCCUGUGAGGGUUGCUGGAGGUAUCAGAAGUGCGAAUGCUGACAUAAGUAACGAUAAAGCGGGUGAAAAGCCCGCUCGCCGGAAGACCAAGGGUUCCUGUCCAACGUUAAUCGGGGCAGGGUGAGUCGACCCCUAAGGCGAGGCCGAAAGGCGUAGUCGAUGGGAAACGGGUUAAUAUUCC
rnacentral:rRNA from 1 species